rnacentral:rRNA from 1 species
CGCAUCUGUGCAUGCAGCAUAUCAAUAAGCGGAGGAAAAGAAACUAACAAGGAUUCCCUUAGUAACGGCGAGUGAAGCGGGUAGAGCUCAAAUUUGAAAUCUUAAAGGGUUUCCCUUUACGAAUUGUAGUUUAAAGAAGUGUUUUCUGUUGAGGUUUUGGUAAAAGUUCUUUGGAAUAGGACAUCAUAGAGGGUGAGAAUCCCGUAUUUGACCUUUACUUUCAACUUUGUGAUACACUUUCAAAGAGUCGGAUUGUUUGGGAAUGCAGUCCAAAAUGGGUGGUAAAUUUCAUCUAAAGCUAAAUAUUGGCGAGAGACCGAUAGCGAACAAGUACCGUGAGGGAAAGAUGAAAAGAACUUUGAAAAGAGAGUUAAACAGUACGUGGAAUUGUCAAAAGGGAAGCGUUUGACACCAGUGUUGUUUUUCUGAAAAUCAAUUAAAGAACUGUUUAUGCUAAGCUGUUUAGACUUUAUCAGCUAUCUGUUUAGUUUUGAGCUUUUCUUUAAUGCACUUUUCAGUUAACAAGUCAACAUCAAUUUCUUUUGCUGUAAAAAAGCUUGAGGAAGGUGGCUUGAGAUUCGUCUUAAGUGUUUAUAGCCUCUUGCCUAUGCAGUCGGAGAGAUUGAGGUCUGCAGCGUAGAUCCUUCGGGGCUAAAUGCAUUUGAUGCUAAGUUAUAGCAUUUUAUAGACAACUUGUUGACUAUGAUUUGUCUUGUAGCUUACUCGCUUAUGUUAUUUUACCUACGCUUAGGAUGUUGAUAGUCACAGCGUGUAC